AGAGUUUGAUCAUGGCUCAGGAUGAACGCUAGCUACAGGCUUAACACAUGCAAGGUCGAGGGGAAACGAUAUUGGAAGCUUUGCUUCCGAUAGGCGUCGACCGGCGUACGGGUGAGUAACGCGUAUCCAACCUGCCCACCACUUGGGGAUAACCUUGCGAAAGUAAGACUAAUACCCAAUGACGUCUCUAGAAGACAUCUGAAAGAGAUUAAAGAUUUAUCGGUGAUGGGUGGGGAUGCGUCUGAUUAGCUUGUUGGCGGGGUAACGGCCCACCUAGUCUUCGAUGGAUAGGGGUUCUGAGAGGAAGGUCCCCCACAUUGGAACUGAGACACGGUCCAAACUCCUACGGGAGGCAGCA
rnacentral:rRNA from 1 species